CCUUGGCUGCACUUCUCUUUCCAGGGCCGGGGGGCUCGAAGGUGUCUCAGCGGAGACUCACACCUGGGAAGCCGGCAGCGUCUUGUCCUCGGGCCGGUGUGGUUCGGGUCGGGGCGUCAGGACUGCCUCCUGAGGCAGAAGGGACCAGAGAGGCAGUCUCGGCCGAGGUCGGGCCACGAACUACAGGUCCCAGCAUGCCGUGCUGCCUCCAGAAUGCACUUCUUCCGGCGGGGGCGGUGGGUCCGGCCACCUGGUGUCGGGAGAGCCAAUGAGAGACUCGGGAAGGGGAGCUGUGGGCCGUCAGGGACCGUGUGGUGUCCGCCACUGUUGUGGUUGUGUGCUGGGGUCCUGGGGAAUGUUACGGCCCCGGGAGGGCCUACCCAGGCCUGGGAGGCUGUCUCAGGGCAGGCUGGGAUCAGACGCGCUAGAUCCUGAGCCGGGCAGGCGAUGAGGCUGGAGCAUCCUCCGGGUCCCCAGAUGGCCGGGCAUCUGGUGCUGGUGGGCUGCACAGUGACCCGCUGGAGUUGCGGUUGUAGCUCAUGGCCGCUCAGUGCUGCGGGUUGGUGAGGGCAGUGACUUAAGGAUCUGCUCAAGGAUUCACCUUUGCUGCAGGAGCCUGCCCUUCCCCGUCCCCAUUCCUAGGAAGGAAGGCAGGCAGCCAGCCAGAGGCUUAUUCUCUGACUGCCUCUCCAAGCCUGCUUCACUGUGGCUGGAGCCUUCACAGAGGGCCGCACAGGGGAGGAGAUGGGGUGGGGCACAAUCCUUCUAGGACAGCGCUCUGAUACCUACUAGAGCUUCUCAGAUUUUGUAUCCGCAGGCCGCUUUUGCCCAGCCUCCCAGAUAGGAAGGGUGGUCAGAUCGAAGCCCUUCUGCAGUCUGAUCCAUGCUGAUGAGAAACGGAGCCUGGUCCAGGAGCCCCUGCCCCGGCGUUCUUGCUCCAGAGCCCCCGGUUGCUGUGACAGCUGCGGCUUCUCCCUCUGAGAGGCCCAGCAAGGCCUGCAUGAGGAGCAGCUGUUGGUGGUGGCAUGAUACGGGGGGGUUUGGAGGCCUAGGGUCCUCAUCUCUGCUGAGGUUCUAGAGAAGGGAGUAACCGCAUCGUCUGACAUCUCUCUCUGGGAUGCUCAUUUCAUGACCCUUGCCCCCGUGGUGCUGACUCUCCCAGAAGAUGUUUAUGGCAGGCUGGAGGCUGCACCGUAGCUGGAUGGAGUCAGGAAUGGCCUGGGCCCUGCUUCAUGUGGGUGUCCUGAAGGACUAAGAGAAACUUCCCUGACCUGGGGUGUUGGGCGACUGGUUUGCUCCAGGUAACACGCUGGGGUGGUGAGCAGCGGGCUGGGGCCAGUCCAGGAUCUGGACUCUAAGUGGGGGCCUCUGCUGUGCCACUUACCCAGGCUUGCAAGCUCUGGAGAGCAGGCAGUGUCCUGUGGGCAUGUCGGUGUCCAGAGCUGGGCCCACGCCCAGAGAAGGGGCCAGCAGACAGUUGGUGCUGGGUAGGCAGCAGCCCAGGCCUGCAGUGUUGGUUUGUGACCAACACCGAGACGGCAUGAAGGCAUCUUUCCUGUCGGCCUGCGGGCACAGCUCCUCCUGGGCCACACUUACCCCACAAGCCCUGUGGUGCCUUUCCCCACCUCUGGGUGCAGAGAUGACCCCUUGGCCAAUUAGCAGGAGUCCCCUCUCCCUCCUGGGCCCACCCCCCAGCCCUGUGCAGAGUGGAGCCUCUGGCUUGGGGUAUCAGGAGGCGACGGAGGCAGCCUGGGGUGGGAAAAUGAGGAGGUGUUCUGGGGGCUGCUGGUGCACAACCCGUCUCCACAACCGCAGGUCCCGGGAUGGGCAGUUAUUUAAAGUCUGACCUCAGGGCCCUCGCUGUAAGGCGGGAACACCAGCUCCAUGUCAUAGCGCUGUUUGACGGUUACAAGUGAGACAUGGGGAGGCCCCGUGGAGCUGCAGAAGGAUUGGCCUCGGGCCCCUCAGGCAGGGCUGGAACAAAGCCAUCUGUGUCUUUCCUGCAACCCGCAAUCAGUUCAACAGAAGUGAGGAAGGUCCCGCCCCUAAGGGCUUGAAGGGUCAAAUGCACUUGACAACGCUGAGACGCGGAGUUUGUACGAUCCCCACGCAUCUCAGAGGUAAUUUCUUCUUGACUUCACUGCUCUGAGGUGACCGGAUUUCCAAGUGGGAUAUUUUCUGCACUGCGGGCGUUGCGUCCUCUAGUCCUCUCUGCUUGCUCGUGCGUUUUUGAACAAGGAAGGAUUAUCUGGGCCUGGGUGGGUGGGCGGUAGCGCUCUCCACCCUGCCCUGUGCUGAGAGCCCCUGCCGGAUGCUGGGCUAUAGCCCUGUGGGAGCCUCGGCACAGCCCGUGUUCAGGGCGCACCCUGCGCUUGGCCUUCACCCUCCCAGCAUCUGGUGAUUAUUUAGAGAGAAAGUGAAGAAAAAAACAAAAAACAAAACCCGUAACAGCUGCCGUCAGAAUCCUCUUGAUGAAAGGACAGCCUGUGUUAGGGGAUGUGGGUUAGGGAGGCUGCCAGGGGGAGGCGGCCUUAGGUGGCCCAGCCUGGCCGGGGAGGUCUGAUGGUGGGUAGAGGGGGGCAAUGGCUAAGGAGAGGAGGCUGGAGUCCCGGUCGUGUUGAGAGCGAGGAUGCCUUGAUCAGUCUGAGCUUCUUCGUGCGGCCCAGUCUUUCCACGACCCCGGGUCUUGGGCGAAUCCUACCGCUUCGCGCUUCCUCUGUUCUUUCCCUUCGUCAGGCCUUUGCUGACGUGAGGAGGGCUCUUUGAUGCUCCAGUCCGUGAGUCCCGUCUUCACUGUGACCAUUCUCGGGUUGCAUUUUUUUUUAUUUAAAAAGUUGUCCCUUUAAGAAACUU